ACUAUUUCUUUUCUUUUUUGUCUUGUUCCAAAACUUUUUUUGCCUAAUAGCUUCUACAGCGGCAACAUAGCAAACUUUACUGGUGGGACACUUUCCAGAAGGGUCCCACCUGUAACCAAGGUAACCUACAUAGAAUCUUCAACCAGGUCGCAAAACCACAAGUAAGUCACACGGAGCCUCCAACCAGGUCACAAGACCACUUGUAACCAAGGUAACCCACAGAGAACUUCCAACCAGGUCACAAGACCAAUAUUGUUCAACCACUUUGCCCCUUAAUGAGAACAAAAACACGAAAAAAAAAGAUCCACAUCUCAGACGCUCUGCAAAUCGGGCACAUGUUUAUAGAAUGGCAAUACACCGCACACAAGCAAUAAGGCCGGCAAACGAUUGUGGAAGAAAGUCAAAUAGCAAAAUCUGAGCUGACAUCAGGGGUUUUCUGAACCCUCAGGGGCUGUAACAUUAGAUAAAAGGGCGCCAUCCAGCAGAGCAGAACUUCUUGUUCCUGGCAUAGCAGUUUUGCCUUGGACACCAUGGAAGCUUCGUUUCACUUCGACAUCUGGAAAGUCACCAGAUCAACGGGCUGGUGCCAGCCAUGCUACAUGGCCCCAAAACUGAUGGAAAAACACCUCCUGAUCCCACCCGCUGAUCCCUCUCUGGCCUGUGGAUGAGCAGGAUGAGGAAGAUGAAGAGGAGGAGGAGGAGGAUGACGACGGGCUGGCAGACAGGCGUGUCCCAGCCUACAUGGGACAGCAAGCAGACACACUCCUCGCUCAUCCUCCUAGCAGCCAGAGGUGACCACUCCACACUAGGGGAACAGCAGCUCUUCUGAGGUUGUACCUGUCUCCCCACUCCUUGGUCUCCAGGUGGUGUGGGCUAAUUAAGCCCAGAAAUUAGACCAGUGAGGCUAUUUGGGGAGAAACUGCAAUCCAAUAUGCCCCUUUUUCAAUAUGCUUACAGUAUAUUACUGUAUUGUCUUAUAUGGACAGUCUGGAGUGUUAUUUGAAAACAGUGCAGUAACAUUUCAACAAGGAGGAGUCCUGGUCUGAGCUGCAGAAUGUGAAUCACUGCUGGAACUUUACAAUACUGUUACAGCUACAACAUUCCAAAUCCUCCUUAAUAAUAUACAACUCCAGGAUUCAUUCAGAGAGUCUGCUGAGAUCAUCACUGCAGUAGCACGGGGAAAGCAGACAGAAACAUUACCUCUCAUACUUCUGGAGUUAAAUUAAGAAUAAAAAAAAGAAUAGCACAGAGAGCAUUACAGGAGAGGGAAUCUGGACCCUGCUUUUUAGGUCAUGCUAAAAAAAGAAGUGGAGAAACUGAGAGUGACAGGGAAAUCAGAAAUCAGACUGAGGUCACCAGUCUAUUGUUGUUGUUGUUGUUGAUAAUAAUCAUUUCCUUUUUAAAUUUUUUUUUUUUUUACAAAUACUGGAAGCACAAACUCUUUUAUCAAUAAACAGACAAUAUGAGGGGCUGGAAUAGAGUGGUACAGAGCGUUUAUAAAACUGGAUUUUUAACCUGAAGGCUGCAGCUUCAGAUCGAAAUGGGCUGCUCUUAUGACCUACUUUAAA